AAGACCUUGCGCUUUUGGAGCGGCCGAUGUCUGAUUAGCUUGUUGGUGAGGUAAAGGCUUACCAAGGCUUCGAUCAGUAGCUGGUCUGAGAGGACGGCCAGCCACACUGGGACUGAGACACGGCCCAGACUCCUACGGGAGGCAGCAGUGGGGAAUUUUGGACAAUGGGGGCAACCCUGAUCCAGCCAUGCCGCGUGAGUGAAGAAGGCCUUCGGGUUGUAAAGCUCUUUCAGCCGGAACGAAACGGUUACGGUUAAUACCCGUGACUACUGACAGUACCGGAAGAAGAAGCACCGGCUAACUACGUGCCAGCAGCCGCGGUAAUACGUAGGGUGCAAGCGUUAAUCGGAAUUACUGGGCGUAAAGCGUGCGCAGGUGGUUUUGUAAGUCAGAUGUGAAAUCCCCGGGCUUAACCUGGGAACU
rnacentral:rRNA from 1 species